AUUGAACGCUGGCGGCAGGCCUAACACAUGCAAGUCGAGCGGUAGCACAGAGAGCUUGCUCUCGGGUGACGAGCGGCGGACGGGUGAGUAAUGUCUGGGAAACUGCCUGAUGGAGGGGGAUAACUACUGGAAACGGUAGCUAAUACCGCAUAAUGUCGCAAGACCAAAGUGGGGGACCUUCGGGCCUCAUGCCAUCAGAUGUGCCCAGAUGGGAUUAGCUAGUAGGUGGGGUAACGGCUCACCUAGGCGACGAUCCCUAGCUGGUCUGAGAGGAUGACCAGCCACACUGGAACUGAGACACGGUCCAGACUCCUACGGGAGGCAGCAGUGGGGAAUAUUGCACAAUGGGCGCAAGCCUGAUGCAGCCAUGCCGCGUGUGUGAAGAAGGCCUUCGGGUUGUAAAGCACUUUCAGCGGGGAGGAAGGCGNUNAGGUUAAUAACCUNNNCGAUUGACGUUACCCGCAGAAGAAGCACCGGCUAACUCCGUGCCAGCAGCCGCGGUAAUACGGAGGGUGCAAGCGUUAAUCGGAAUUACUGGGCGUAAAGCGCACGCAGGCGGUCUGUCAAGUCGGAUGUGAAAUCCCCGGGCUCAACCUGGGAACUGCAUUCGAAACUGGCAGGCUAGAGUCUUGUAGAGGGGGGUAGAAUUCCAGGUGUAGCGGUGAAAUGCGUAGAGAUCUGGAGGAAUACCGGUGGCGAAGGCGGCCCCCUGGACAAAGACUGACGCUCAGGUGCGAAAGCGUGGGGAGCAAACAGGAUUAGAUACCCUGGUAGUCCACGCCGUAAACGAUGUCGAUUUGGAGGUUGUGCCCUUGAGGCGUGGCUUCCGGAGCUAACGCGUUAAAUCGACCGCCUGGGGAGUACGGCCGCAAGGUUAAAACUCAAAUGAAUUGACGGGGGCCCGCACAAGCGGUGGAGCAUGUGGUUUAAUUCGAUGCAACGCGAAGAACCUUACCUGGUCUUGACAUCCACAGAACUUUCCAGAGAUGGAUUGGUGCCUUCGGGAACUGUGAGACAGGUGCUGCAUGGCUGUCGUCAGCUCGUGUUGUGAAAUGUUGGGUUAAGUCCCGCAACGAGCGCAACCCUUAUCCUUUGUUGCCAGCGGUUNGGCCGGGAACUCAAAGGAGACUGCCAGUGAUAAACUGGAGGAAGGUGGGGAUGACGUCAAGUCAUCAUGGCCCUUACGACCAGGGCUACACACGUGCUACAAUGGCAUAUACAAAGAGAAGCGACCUCGCGAGAGCAAGCGGACCUCAUAAAGUAUGUCGUAGUCCGGAUUGGAGUCUGCAACUCGACUCCAUGAAGUCGGAAUCGCUAGUAAUCGUAGAUCAGAAUGCUACGGUGAAUACGUUCCCGGGCCUUGUACACACCGCCCGUCACACCAUGGGAGUGGGUUGCAAAAGAAGUAGGUAGCUUAACCUUCGGGAGGGCGCUUACCACUUUGUGAUUCAUGACUGGGGUGAAG
rnacentral:rRNA from 1 species